CAAACUGCACAGGCCCCUUCCUGCCACCGCUCCACCACCCUGCCACCAUCGUGUUGCCUUGUCCUUCCAGCACAAAGCGUCUCCCAGGCCCUGUCCUCAUCCAUCAUCUCCCACCCUCAGGAUAUCCCACGCCCCAGCCAUGGCGGGAGCUGCGUGAGGCCGAGUAGGCCGUCUGCAACCAACGGUGCCCGUGUCCCCCUGGGGACUUUGGCCAGCUUGUCCGAGGUGUCUCUGCUCUGCUGCUGCUGAGAUCCAUCCAACACCAAUCCACCAAUCCUUUAGUGCCUGUGCUGCUGCUGGACACCAUUCAACGAGCAAGCAGCUGUCUUUACAUGCAAUUUGGUUGAAUAUGUGAUUAUUUCUUUAUUGAAAGUAAAAGUAAUUAUAUUAAAAAUGUUAUGCAGGCCCAGGCUGCUAUAAUGAAGAUGGCCUGUUGGGAGUGUGGCUUAUAUCUGCAGUACCAAAAAAGAGAAGAAAUUUUGGGCAUAGAUUUAUGUGCUAAUAGACACAGAUAUAACACUAGAAAAUCAGGAUUAGAAAAAAAAUCACAUUUUUCACGAAUAUUAAACAUGAACAAGAAAGAGGGAAUAAUAGAGAACAAUGAAAAAGACGAAAUAGUUAAACAACUUUCAGUUUCAAUAUUUAUUCCACUAGAUCAAUCCCUUAUGAGAUGCAAAUAUAUGGAAUUUUGCAAUACAGUUUUUGGUUCUGUAGAAUUAAAUUCUCUCUACUUUAAAAUGCUAUUUCUAUAUGGCAAAACUCUAGCAAGGAGUACAAUAAUAAAAAACAUUUAAUAUUGCA